rnacentral:misc_RNA from 1 species
AAGUCGUAACAAGGUUUCCGUAGGUGAACCUGCGGAAGGAUCAUUAACACGUUCCAAACGUAUCAACCAAUGAGAAUUGUUUUCACCUCUCCCUAUACUGAGAAUGAAUUGGAACUUGAUAUAGGCCAUAAAUGGGGCUGCCGCAAGGCGCCAACCUAUAGAAGCCACUUAUUAAAGCGAAAGUUUUAAUAGACAAUUGUAUUUCAGUAUUAGGCUUCGUCUUGCUAAUUUGAUCUCCAUUUAUGAUCGUGUUAGCGAGACACUUUAUUAACCUAUUUCACCCCUUUUUGCUAGUUGACUUUUAUAUGUUGUUCUUUGCGCAAGCAAGGUUCACACGUUUAAUUAUUUGAACGUUAAAAAUACAACUCUUAGCAAUGGAUAUCUUGGUUCUC